UGAUGGUGUCACGCACAAUGCCAGGAGAUGUCAUCAUGUGCUACCUCGUUCCAUGAUAUCACCCAUCACCAGGCGUGUCCAUUG
rnacentral:pre_miRNA from 1 species